GUAGGUGGCAAGCGUUGUCCGGAAUUAUUGGGCGUAAAGCGCGCGCAGGCGGUUCUUUAAGUCUGAUGUGAAAGCCCACGGCUCAACCGUGGAGGGUCAUUGGAAACUGGAGAACUUGAGUACAGAAGAGGAGAGCGGAAUUCCACGUGUAGCGGUGAAAUGCGUAGAGAUGUGGAGGAACACCAGUGGCGAAGGCGGCUUUCUGGUCUGUAAUUGACGCUGAGGCGCGAAAGCGUGGGGGAGCAAACAGGAUUAGAUACCCUGGUAGUCCACGCCGUAAACGAUGAGUGCUAAGUGUUAGGGGGUUUCCGCCCCUUAGUGCUGCAGCUAACGCAUUAAGCACUCCGCCUGGGAGUACGGCCGCAAGGCUG
rnacentral:rRNA from 1 species